GAUGAACGCUGGCGGUAUGCUUAACACAUGCAAGUCGAACGGACUCUUCGGAGUUAGUGGCGGUCGGGUGAGUAACGCGUGAGAAUCUGGCUUUGGGUUCGGGACAACCACUGGAAACGGUGGCUAAUACCGGAUGUGCCGAGAGGUAAAAGAGAAAUUGCCUGAAGAUGAGCUCGCGUCUGAUUAGCUAGUUGGUGAGGUAAAGGCUCACAAAGGCAGCGAUCAGUAGCUGGUCUGAGUGGAUGACCAGCCACACUGGGACUGAGACACGGCCCAGACUCCUACGGGAGGCAGCAGUGGGGAAUUUUCCGCAAUGGGCGAAGGCCUGACGGAGCACUACCGCGUGAGGAAAGAAGGCUCUUGGGUUGAAAACCUUUUUUCUUAGGGAAGAACAAAAUGACGGUACCUGAGGAAUCAGCAACGGCUAACUCCGUG
rnacentral:rRNA from 1 species